rnacentral:rRNA from 1 species
GAUGAACGCUGGCGGCGUGCCUAAUACAUGCAAGUCGAGCGAACAGACGAGGAGCUUGCUCCUCUGACGUUAGCCGCGGACGUGUGAGUAACACGUGGAUAACCUACCUAUAAGACUGGGAUAACUUCGGGAAACCGGAUCUAAUACCGGAUAAUAUAUUGAACCGCAUGGUUCAAUAGUGAAAGACGGUUUUGCUGUCACUUAUAGAUGGAUCCGCGCCGCAUUAGCUAGUUGUUAAGGUAACGGCUUACCAAGGCAACGAUGCGUAGCCGACCUGAGAGGGUGAUAGGCCACACUGGAGCUGAGACACGGUCCAGACUCCUACGGGAGGCAGCAGUAGGGAAUCUUACGCAAUGGGCGAAAGCCUGACGGAGCAACGCCGCGUGAGUGAUGAAGGUCUUCGGAUCGUAAAACUCUGUUAUUAGGGAAGAACAAAUGUGUAAGUAUCUAUGCACGUCUUGACGGUACCUAAUCAGAAAGCAACGGCUAACUACGUG